rnacentral:rRNA from 1 species
AACGAACGCUGGCGGCAUGCCUAACACAUGCAAGUCGAACGAGACCUUCGGGUCUAGUGGCGCACGGGUGCGUAACGCGUGGGAACCUGCCCUUAGGUUCGGAAUAACUCCCCGAAAGGGGUGCUAAUACCGGAUAAUGUCUUCGGACCAAAGAUUUAUCGCCUUUGGAUGGGCCCGCGUUGGAUUAGCUAGUUGGUAGGGUAAAAGCCUACCAAGGCGACGAUCCAUAGCUGGUCUGAGAGGAUGAUCAGCCACACUGGGACUGAGACACGGCCCAGACUCCUACGGGAGGCAGCAGUGGGGAAUAUUGGACAAGGGGCGAAAGCCUGAUCCAGCAAUGCCGCGUGAGUGAUGAAGGCCUUAGGGUUGUAAAGCUCUUGUACCCGGGAUGAUAAUGACAGUACCGGGAGAAUAAGCUCCGGCUAACUCCGUG